rnacentral:ncRNA from 1 species
GAUAACAGCGUAAUUUUUUUGGAGAGUUCUUAUCGAUAAAAAAGAUUGCGACCUCGAUGUUGGAUUAAGAAAUAAAUUUAAAUGCAAAAGUUUAAAAAUUAAGUCUGUUCGACUUUUAAAAUCUUCCAUGAUCUGAGUUCAAACCGGCGUAAGCCAGGUU